rnacentral:rRNA from 1 species
GAGUUUGAUCGUGGCUCAGAUUGAACGCUGGCGGCAUGCCUUACACAUGCAAGUCGAACGGCAGCAUGAUCUAGCUUGCUAGAUUGAUGGCGAGUGGCGAACGGGUGAGUAAUACAUCGGAACGUGCCCUGUAGUGGGGAUAACUAGUCGAAAGAUUAGCUAAUACCGCAUACGACCUGAGGGUGAAAGUGGGGGACCGCAAGGCCUCAUGCUAUAGGAGCGGCCGAUGUCUGAUUAGCUAGUUAGUGGGGUAAAGGCCCACCAAGGCGACGAUCAGUAGCUGGUCUGAGAGGGCGAUCAGCCACACUGGGACUGAGACACGGCCCAGACUCCUACGGGAGGCAGCAGUGGGGAAUUUUGGACAAUGGGCGAAAGCCUGAUCCAGCAAUGCCGCGUGUGUGAAGAAGGCCU